AUUGAACGCUGGCGGCAGGCCUAACACAUGCAAGUCGAGCGAGCGGCGGACGGGGGAGCAAUGUCUGGGAAACAGCCUGAUGGAGGGGGAUAACUACUGGAAACGGUAGCUAAUACAGCAUACCAUCAGAGGUGCCCAGAUGGGAUUAGCUAGUAGGUGGGGGAGUGGCUCACCUAGGCGACGAUCCCUAGCUGGUCUGAGAGGAUGACCCACCACACUGUAACUGAGACACGGUCCAGACUCCUACGGGAGGCAGCAGUGGGGAAUAUUGCACAAUGGGGGCAAGCCUGAUGCAGCCAUGCCGCGUGUGUGAAGAAGGCCUUCGGGUUGUAAAGCACUUUCAGCGGGGAGGCGUUACCCGCAGAAGAAGCACCGGCUAACUCCGUGCCAGCAGCCGCGGUAAUAC
rnacentral:rRNA from 1 species